rnacentral:lncRNA from 1 species
AACAAAUGCUUUUAAAAACUUGUCAUAGAAGAUGACUGAAGAAAAUGAGUAGGACCACAUUUGACAUGUAACACGGCAGCUAUCAAUGAAUGCUCCAGUCCUUUUGAUGUAGUGUUUAAAAAUACAUCCUUGCCUCAAAGGUGUGGCAUGCAACAUUGUGAAAGGAAAAAAAAAAAAAAAAGAAUUUAUGAAGAAAACAAAUAGAAACAAACUAUGAAAUUUUUAUUUGAUAUUAAUAAACAAUAAAUUAUGUGGUAAAAUACA